UACGUAGGGGGCAAGCGUUGUCCGGAAUCAUUGGGCGUAAAGCGCGUGUAGGCGGCUCGGUAAGUCUGCUGUGAAAGUCCAGGGCUCAACCCUGGGAUGCCGGUGGAUACUGUCGAGCUCGAGUCCGGAAGAGGCGAGUGGAAUUCCUGGUGUAGCGGUGAAAUGCGCAGAUAUCAGGAGGAACACCAAUGGCGAAGGCAGCUCGCUGGGACGUGACUGACGCUGAAGCACGAAAGCGUGGGGAGCAAACAGG
rnacentral:rRNA from 1 species